rnacentral:rRNA from 1 species
UUGAAAGGGAAACGAUUGAAGUCAGUCGGUCCUGCCGGAUAAUCAGCCUUUCGAGUAUGAUUCUGUGGAGUGUAAGGAGUUUAACCGUCUUUAUACCCGCAUAUUUGUGCGCUUUGGGUGUACUUGUCCGUUUGGUAGGUUUACAUCAAUUUUGGUCGUUAUAAAAUGACUAGGGGAAAGUAGCUUUGGUCCCGUACUGAAGUGUUAUAUCUUCGGCAGAUAUGGUGACCGGGAUUGAGGAUUGCAACGGAUACCUUUUGGGCUACCCGCCUGAUCUCUGAAAGUUGCUCUGGUGCCGAAAGCUUGCUUACGGUUAUCAAAGUUGACGUUCAAAAGGUUAGAACGGGUUAAAUUCGUUAAGGAUGUUGACGUA